rnacentral:lncRNA from 1 species
GGGGUGUCCCAGUACCGGCUGCCCCCUGAAGUGAGCCUCACCCUCUACAACCACGUGUGCUCCACGGACCUGUGCAACGACGACCAGACCUUGGCCUCACUCUGGAACACGUCCCGGGGGGGGGCGGGGGGGGCAGGAGCUGUGUCCCCGCAGGCGUGGGAGGCCGGCUGUGAGCUGGAGUCUGCCUGCCGCCAGCCCCCCCCCCCCCGGCUCGGGGGUCCUUCUGGCUCCGCCCACCCGCUGUGAGCUGGGGUUCGGGAUGAAGCAGACAGAAGUCGGAGGGGGCCGCGUGGGGGGCAUCCUCCUCCAAGGUCCCGGGACGCAUUCGAGCCUCCCAGCCAGCCCUGGAAACUUCAGCAGCAGGACCUUGGUGCCUGCCAAGAUCUGGCGUCAGGCCUGCGCUGCCCUGCAGUCCUGUCCCGAAGACUCGCCCUUCAUCCCCUCCCCCCAGAGGACCCACUGCUACCGAGGAGCCCUCAAACUCAUGAGCGCUGGGUGUAGGACUUAGCAGAGACAAGCUCAGAUGAAUGGCCAUCCCUCUGAUUUUAUUAUAGACUUCAAAGGAAAAACAGGUCGUCCACUUCAAGACCUGCCGAUUCAAGUAGCAUCCUCUAUUAUGUGUAUACAAAUGCUCAUUCGCUUUGGUUGUUGUUAGGUUUAAAAUAAAAAUUAGUUUUUAAAACA